CUGAUACAAUGAUGACUGCAUAGUUAAGCAGAUAAACCAUGAUGAAUAUUUAGCAUUGUCUUUCGCUCCUAUCUGAUGUGUUGG
ensembl:snoRNA